UGGGGUUUAAGGGACUCACGAAAGGUAUCUGGGUGUGGGCUUGGGUUUGGUAUUGAUGUUCUCAGCUGUUUAGGUAGUUUUAGGCAUGCAGGGUGCUUUAAAUUGUCAUGACCAAAAAAUGUCCUGGAUUGAAAUCAAAGACGAUUUAUUAUAGUCUAUUCAAUUGACAUAUUGAAUUGUUUAUGCUGGUUAAUGAGUUGGCUCUUAUUUUCAUAUGCUUUGAAAUUUCCAGCAACUUAGAUUGAUGAGGAAUG
rnacentral:misc_RNA from 1 species